CGCUUGGCUCUCAGUUUGGAUAUGGGGUCGUGGUUCUGCAACAGGUGCAAGGCUGGUGACACCUCUGCCUGGCUUUCCUUCUUCUUCCCCAAACCAAUGAAGAAGAAUCCAAGACACUAUCAUCACUGUUAGCGGAAAUGUUCAGAAGACUGGCGGGGGCUCACAUCUGCAAUCCUGCCAUUUGGAAGAAUAAAGCAGAAAAAUGCCUUGAGUUCCAGGCUAGCCUUGGCUUCACAGUGGGUUAGGAGCCACCCUGGGCUACAGGGUGAGACCAUCAAAAAUCAAUCAACCAACCAAACAGCCAAACAAACAACCAAACAAAGAAACAUGUCAAUAUCUUUGCCUAAAAUCCAGCCAUAACAAAACUAAAGGGUCUGAAAGCCUCUGUCAGAUUGACAGAAGUAGGCCAAAGAACUAGAUAAAAUUCUUAAUUUUCAACUUCA